CAGUCGAGCGGAACGACUUAACUGAACCUUCGGGGAACGUUAAGGGCGUCGAGCGGCGGACGGGUGAGUAAUGCCUGGGAAAUUGCCCUGAUGUGGGGGAUAACCAUUGGAAACGAUGGCUAAUACCGCAUAAUAGCUUCGGCUCAAAGAGGGGGACCUUCGGGCCUCUCGCGUCAGGAUAUGCCCAGGUGGGAUUAGCUAGUUGGUGAGGUAAGGGCUCACCAAGGCGACGAUCCCUAGCUGGUCUGAGAGGAUGAUCAGCCACACUGGAACUGAGACACGGUCCAGACUCCUACGGGAGGCAGCAGUGGGGAAUAUUGCACAAUGGGCGCAAGCCUGAUGCAGCCAUGCCGCGUGUAUGAAGAAGGCCUUCGGGUUGUAAAGUACUUUCAGCAGUGAGGAAGGUGGAUGCGUUAAUAGCGUAUUCAUUUGACGUUAGCUGCAGAAGAAGCACCGGCUAACUCCGUGCCAGCAGCCGCGGUAAUACGGAGGGUGCGAGCGUUAAUCGGAAUUACUGGGCGUAAAGCGCAUGCAGGUGGUUUGUUAAGUCAGAUGUG
rnacentral:rRNA from 3 species